CAGUAGCCGCGGUAAUGCGAAGGGUGCAAGCGUUACUCGGAAUUACUGGGCGUAAAGCGUGCGUAGGUGGUGGUUUAAGUCCGUUGUGAAAUCCCCGGGCUCAACCUGGGAAUGGCAAUGGAUACUGGCAAGCUAGAGUGUGUCAGAGGAUGGUGGAAUUCCCGGUGUAGCGGUGAAAUGCGUAGAGAUCGGGAGGAACAUCAGUGGCGAAGGCGGCCAUCUGGGACAACACUGACGCUGAGGCACGAAAGCGUGGGGAGCAAACAGGAUUAGAUACCCCUGUAGUCCCUGUCUCUUAUAC
rnacentral:rRNA from 1 species